CUUGAAUGUUCUUUUUUUUUAUUUUACAGUGAAAUUACAAUAUUAUUAUUUUUAUUUAGUAGUUAGUCAUUUUUGUUGUUGUUGUUAUUCUUUUAUAAUCAUAUGGAUAUAUAAUCACAAAAUCUUUGUCCAAAUUGUGCAUCCCUACAGACUAGCACAGCAAACCUCAAAAAAAUAAAAAUAAAUAAUUUAAUCAAAAUUUUAAUUUAAUUUUUUUUUCCGUAUUUUCAGCCCCAAAUCACGUGGCUCUAGCAUCAUGUCUGUUUUGUUUGAUACUGCACCAUUGAACCGUGCUUUGUUUCAGUCUUUUGUAGUACUUCCUCCUGUUCUUUCAGAAGCAGCUGUUGCUGACAGACGCUGAGCAUGAUUGUGAUAGAUAAUGUUGGUUCAUCUAAAGCAGAACCUCCUCGCAGAAGACGCUGGGUUUGUCUCCUUCUUCUUCAUCUAUUGUUUCAUCUCAGGAUUGGCCGCCGUUUACACCGAACGGAUGCUGAAAACCCAGCGGGCAGCAGUGGUUUCUCCACUCUCGUUUGGCUCAUUACUGUGGGACAGGCUGCUAACGGGCUCCUCGUGUCCGUCGUCAUGAAUCACGUGGCUGUUUGUCAGCUCCUCUGUGCAGGUGAAUGACGUGUUGUCAUGGAUGAUUCUGGGGAUACAGCUUACUUCCUGUUUCCCGUGCUGCUGAUUGGAUGGGCCUGUAUUACAGAAGUGCAUCUUACUGUGAAUGAACACCAUCUCAUCAAGACUGAAUCUCUGUUCAUGUGUUGGUUUUAUUCAUGUGCCGUAUUUUAUUUUUAAAAUAAUGUUGAAAUGAAUGGUACAGCACUCAUAUUUAAGGCAAAUUUAUGCAAAGUGUAAAGGAGAACUAGUUCUCAACUGACUUACCUGCUUAAAUAAAGGUUAACAAAUAAAUAUAAUGGAGCAAUCA